rnacentral:rRNA from 1 species
UAUUAGUGGCGACCGGGUGCGUAACACGUAGCUGACCUGCCCCUCAGCGGGGGACAACAGUUCGAAAGGACUGCUAAUACCGCAUACGCUCGAAGAGUUUAGAGGCUCGUCGAGAAAACUUACGGGGUUGAGGGAGGGAGCUGCGGCCCAUCAGGUAGUUGGUAAGGUAACGGCUUACCAAGCCAUCGACGGGUAGGGGGCCUGAGAGGGUGGUCCCCCACACUGGAACUGACAAACGGUCCAG